rnacentral:lncRNA from 1 species
GGGAAGUUGCUGUAGACACAACAUCUUUGUUGACUGCUGAUAAAGGGAGCUUUGCAAAUAUAGCUAUAUAUGCUUCCUACGUAUGCGAGCAGCUAGAAGGAAAAAGCUCAUAGGUACCAAAAUCUUCGUUUGUAGCUACCACUAUUCCUUGUGAGGAACACUGAGAAGCGCUGGGACGUGAUCAUGGAGCGCUCUUCCACCCCCGCAGUACGCCGCGUUGCUCUCUUGCUGGCUCUCAUCGUAUGCUGUUCCAUGGUAUCCUCGACGGCGGCAACCCAAGGUAACUAUUCAAUUCUUGUUUCCUACAUACGGUAUCAAGAUCUUUAAUUCUAUCGGGAGGGCUUACGUAUAUGCAGUUUCUCUGCAUGGAAGCCGUGAGGGACAACGUCCUCCGUCGCCUUCGGCCUCGGGCGGGAGGUCCGUGAGGUGUCCAGGAUGCGGAAGAACUUCUUCGUUGCCGGCGACGGCCAGACAUUCGCCGCACCGGAAGAACCUGCAGGUUGCUGCGAACGUCAACUUCUACGCGUGAAUCGCAUGUGGAAGUUUUCAUUAUAUUUUUACUUUUGCCCCAAACCAAUGAGGAUAAGAGGAUGUUUUUUGCAUCACGAUAUUUGAAUUGGUAUGUGAGAAACAAAUAGCAUGUGCAAGUAUCUCGUGCAUAUUUAAAUUUUAAUAUAUACACGAAAAUAGCAUAGAACAAUUGUUCUAUGGUUCUUUUGCUUUUUGAUAUAAAGGACACUUUCAUUAACAUUUUCUCCGCUUUGGAUCCUUUACGAUUAAUGACGGAUCAAUGAUUCGUUUCUUGGAGGCCUCCAAAAAUAAUAUCCAAGUCCAACUUUGUAACGCAUUCAUGAAAAAAACGAUACUCUUACGUUGGAUAUUUCUUUUAGGUGGUACUCCAUCGGCCCCAUCGUAUGUCACUGCAAAAUAUUUUAUAUCCCCAUCAUGGACGAAGCUAGAUGGGUAUUUGGGUGUAGAAAUGUACACCUGCUAUUUGUGAAAAAUGCUGUCU